GACGAACGCUGGCGGCGUGCUUAACACAUGCAAGUCGAACGGAAAGGCCUGCUUUCCCUUGUGGAUUGCGGGUACUCGAGUGGCGAACGGGUGAGUAACACGUGAGUGAUCUGCCCCCAACUUGGGUAUAAGCCUGGGAAACUGGGUCUAAUUCCCGAUAGGACUGCAGGGUGGUGCCUGUGGUGGAAAACGAUUUUCUAGUGGUUGGGGAUGAGCUCGCGGCCUAUCAGCUUGUUGGUGGGGUAAUGGCCUACCAAGGCGGCGACGGGUAGCCGGCCUGAGAGGGUGGACGGCCACAUUGGGACUGAGAUACGGCCCAGACUCCUACGGGAGGCAGCAGUGGGGGAUAUUGCGCAAUGGGCGGAAGCCUGAUGCAGCGACGCCGCGUGGGGGAUGACGGCCUUCGGGUUGUAAACUCCUUUCGACCGCGAGGAAGCCACCUGGUUGGAAGGGUGGUGACGGUAGUGGUAGAAGAAGCACCGGCUAACUACGUG
rnacentral:rRNA from 1 species